rnacentral:rRNA from 1 species
ACACGUAGGUGGCAAGCGUUGUCCGGAAUUACUGGGUGUAAAGGGCGUGUAGGCGGGGAUGCAAGUCAGAUGUGAAAUUCCGGGGCUCAACCCCGGCACUGCAUCUGAAACUGUGUCUCUUGAGUGCUGGAGAGGAAAGCGGAAUUCCUAGUGUAGCGGUGAAAUGCGUAGAUAUUAGGAGGAACACCAGUGGCGAAGGCGGCUUUCUGGACAGUAACUGACGCUGAGGCGCGAAAGCGUGGGUAGCGAACAGGAUUAGAUACCCUGGUAGUCCACGCCGUAAACGAUGGAUACUAGGUGUAGGAGGUAUCGACCCCUUCUGUGCCGGAGUUAACACAAUAAGUAUCCCACCUGGGGAGUACGGCCGCAAGGUUGAAACUCAAAUGAAUUGACGGGG